UACGUAGGGGGCUAGCGUUGUCCGGAAUCAUUGGGCGUAAAGCGCGCGUAGGCGGCCCGGUAAGUCCGCUGUGAAAGUCAAAGGCUCAACCUUUGAAUGUCAGCGGAUACUGCCGGGCUAGAGUCCGGAAGAGGCGAGUGGAACUCCUGGUGUAGCGGUGGAAUGCGCAGAUAUCAGGAGGAACACCGGUGGCGAAGGCGGAUCUCUGGGCCUUGCCUGACGCUGAGGCGCGAAAGCUAGGGGAGCGAACAGG
rnacentral:rRNA from 1 species